UUGUAAACAAAGUAACAUGAUAAUUAAAUACUCCGGUGAGAAAGCGGGGCUUCCAUUUUGAAUGUGCCAUGCUACUGCUACAGGCGCAGAGUGCGAGGAGGAACAUUUUUGGGGGAAAAAAGCUGGUUUUCACACAAGAGUAAUAGGAUUACCACACACUGCUCUGCCAAGGACAGAGACUGGAGAGGGAGACAGGAGGACAGGUUAAAGAUAGGGAGGAAGAGAGAGAGAGGGAAAUGAAGAGUACAAGUUGAAGAACAGAAUGCCAUGUUGCUGCACACCCAACCUGAAGCCCCUCGGAUUAACAGGCCUGUAAUAUUUGAGGAGCAACAGCGAGCGCAAUGGAUCUGUAUCCAGUACAGCUGUCAUUUCAGAGGCGUGGAGCUAAUCAGAGGUCCAAUUUAGCAGCAUGACGGACCUAAAGCGGGGUCACCAUAGGACUGCUACUCACUGCUGCUGAUAGUACACCAGCUGCUGAACUUCAUGUAACUCAA